CACGGGGGGAGCAAGCGUUGUUCGGAAUCACUGGGCGUAAAGGGCGUGCAGGCGGUCAGGUAAGUGGGAUGUGAAAUGCCCCGGCUCACCCGGGGACCGGCAUCUCAUACUGCUUGGCUUGAGUACGGGAGAGGAUGUGGGAAUUCCUGGUGUAGUGGUGAAAUGCGUAGAUAUCAGGAGGAACACCGAUGGCGAAGGCAGGUCUCUGGGCCGAUACUGACGCUGAGGAGCGAAAGCGUGGGGAGCGAACAGG
rnacentral:rRNA from 1 species